rnacentral:rRNA from 1 species
UACCAGCACCCCGAGUGGUCGGGACGAUUAUUGGGCCUAAAGCAUCCGUAGCCGGUUCUAUAAGUCCUCCGUUAAAUCCAUCUGCUUAACAGAUGGGCUGCGGAGGAUACUAUAGAGCUAGGAGGCGGGAGAGGCAAGCGGUACUCAGUGGGUAGGGGUAAAAUCCGUUGAUCCAUUGAAGACCACCAGUGGCGAAGGCGGCUUGCCAGAACGCGCUCGACGGUGAGGGAUGAAAGCUGGGGGAGCAAACCGGAUUAGAUACCCGGGUAGUCCCAGCUGUAAACGAUGCAGACUCGGUGAUGAAUAGGCUUAGUGCCUAUUCAGUGCCGCAGGGAAGCCGUUAAGUCUGCCGCCUGGGGAUACGGUCGCAAGACUGAAACUUAAAGGAAUUGGCGGGGAGCACCACAAGGGGUGAAGCCUGCGGUUC